rfam:Helianthus annuus linkage group 2, whole genome shotgun sequence.
CUCAACCAAUUCAACACAAAACAGACAGAGGAAUCUUGGACGUGAUAUUGUAAGGCGGAGCGAAUCCGGAAAGAUUGCCUCAGUUCGGAUUGUUCUCUGCAACUCGGGAACAUGAAGUUGGAAUCGCUAGUAAUCGUGGAUCAGCAUGCCGCGGUGAAUAUGUACC